rnacentral:sRNA from 1 species
GCGACGUAUAUCAGUAAAUAUAAUUAUCAUUUGUCAGACAAAAGAUAUAAUGCUUACUUUCCACCAAAACAAAUUAAACGUCAUGGCAUGAACUAUGAGUGCUAAGGACCGGGCCAACCCAUAAAAAGACCAUUUCAGCAUAUUCUGUAGUGGAAGGUACAAAGGUAUGACAUGAAGAUGCCUAACUUGAUUUACAUACAUUAUCGCAUGCUACAUCCAAUGUGAAGAAGUUGGGAGUCGAAGAGAUAAAGCUUCUCGAAAGUUCAUUGGAGUAGAGGCACUCAUCCACAAGCUGGCGGAGAUUGGGAUUCUCCAAGGCAGCAGCAACUCUUUCUUUAUCAUUUAACUGCUUGUUGACUGCAAGAAGAAGAUUUCAAGAAUUAUGUUGUAGGAAGAAAGGAAUCCGAAGGAAACUGUUGUUUCUCAGUGAGGUACAGGGGUAAAGUAAAAGGGUCAUGAAGUUGACGGGCAAAGUAGUUUCGGAGAAAGAGGAAAAGACUUAAUGUUAGGAAUGGAUAAUCUCGGUUACAGGACUAGUCAUGUUCAAAUUCUCUCUUAAUAGACAUUAAAUAGAUCCUCCUAUCUAAUAAAUUCCUCACCCCGUAUUUAAUGUCUAUCAAAUCUACAAGAUAUGAACAUGACUAAAUCAUGUCAAAUUCUGCCACAUGAAAAGUCUAAAUUGUUGUUAUUUUGGCAAAUGUUUAAACCUCACCUGAUUCUUCGUCAGCAUGAGAUCCAGGAGAAACCUUGAUGUCCACCUGCAAAAAGAAAAAUUUGAAUAAUGGAUGGGAUUAAUUAUCAGACAGGAGACAAUCUAAUCAGAAUGGAAAUGAAUUUUCAGCAUUAGAACUACAAUCAACAUUCAAAGAGCCUGAAGGAGCAAGGGGAACUAACAAACCACCAACCAUAAAUGCCAAUCCCAAAUACUUGCACCAUAGUGGGAUGAUUAAUGUUCUUAACAAUAAGAACAAAAAAAUCUAGGGUAAAACAAAACUUAGAAGUUAGCACACGACAGGGAUAUGAUAGACCUGUUUUAGAGGGAAUAACAAAUAACAAGGGACAGAACAAAUCAAGGCAGUAAAGGUCACACUUCACUGCAAACAGGUUUGGCAAAAAAUGGCGCAGAGGUCUCAGGAAGUGUUAUGAAAUGGUGGCAUGUGGCAGCCAACCUCAAAAGUGCUA